rnacentral:rRNA from 1 species
ACAUGCUUACAACAUAGCAUUAAUACAUCAGAUCCCAUUAGAACUUCAUAGUUAAGUUUGCUCGAGAUAAAGUAUUACUAGGAUGGGUAAUUGCCCAAGAAGUCCUAGUAUUUUACAUGCC